rfam:Triticum aestivum genome assembly, contig: Triticum_aestivum_CS42_TGACv1_scaffold_361421_4DS
AUGGUACUCCCUCCGUCCGGAAUUACUUGUCGCUGAAAUGGAUGUAUCUAGAUGUAUUUUAAUUCUAGAUACAUCCAUUUCUGUGACAAGUACAUCCAUUUCUGUGACAAGUAAUUCAGGACGGAGGUAGUACUAU